rnacentral:rRNA from 1 species
GAUGAACGCUGGCGGCGUGCCUAAUACAUGCAAGUCGAGCGAACAGACGAGGAGCUUGCUCCUCUGACGUUAGCGGCGGACGGGUGAGUAACACGUGGAUAACCUACCUAUAAGACUGGGAUAACUUCGGGAAACCGGAGCUAAUACCGAAUAAUAUAUUGAACCGCAUGGUUCAAUAGUGAAAGACGGUUUUGCUGUCACUUAUAGAUGGAUCCGCGCCGCAUUAGCUAGUUGGUAAGGUAACGGCUUACCAAGGCAACGAUGCGUAGCCGACCUGAGAGGGUGAUCGGCCACACUGGAACUGAGACACGGUCCAGACUCCUAAGGGAGGCAGCAGUAGGGAAUCUUCCGCAAUGGGCGAAAGCCUGACGGAGCAACGCCGCGUGAGUGAUGAAGGUCUUCGGAUCGUAAAACUCUGUUAUUAGGGAAGAACAAAUGUGUAAGUAACUAUGCACGUCUUGACGGUACCUAAUCAGAAAGCCACGGCUAACUACGUG